GCCGGGCUGGCGCAAUGGUAGCGCGCAAGACUGUAAGUACAAGGCGAUUAAAUUGCCAGAAAUAUGCUAACAUGUAACAGUCUACCUGUGAAGGUUCAUCUUGAGGCUGCGGGUUCGAGUCCCGCGUCUGGUA